CCAGAGAACUUAGCAGAGAUGCUUUGGUGCCUUCGGGAACUCUGAGACAGGUGCUGCAUGGCUGUCGUCAGCUCGUGUUGUGAAAUGUUGGGUUAAGUCCCGCAACGAGCGCAACCCUUAUCCUUUGUUGCCAGCGGUCCGGCCGGGAACUCAAAGGAGACUGCCAGUGAUAAACUGGAGGAAGGUGGGGAUGACGUCAAGUCAUCAUGGCCCUUACGAGUAGGGCUACACACGUGCUACAAUGGCGCAUACAAAGAGAAGCGACCUCGCGAGAGCAAGCGGACCUCAUAAAGUGCGUCGUAGUCCGGAUUGGAGUCUGCAACUCGACUCCAUGAAGUCGGAAUCGCUAGUAAUCGUGGAUCGGAAUGCCACGGUGAAUACGUUCCCGGGCCUUGUACACACCGCCCGUCACACCAUGGGAGUGGGUUGCAAAAGAAGUAGGUAGCUUAACCUUCGGGAGGGCGCUUACCACUUUGUGAUUCAUGACUGGGGUGAAGUCGUAACAAGGUAGGCGUAGAUGA
rnacentral:rRNA from 1 species